UACGUAGGGUGCGAGCGUUGUCCGGAAUUAUUGGGCGUAAAGAGCUCGUAGGCGGUGUGUCACGUCGUUCGUGAAAACCUGCAGCUUAACUGUGGGCGUGCGGUCGAUACGGGCAUCACUGGAGUUCGGCAGGGGAGACUGGAAUUCCUGGUGUAGCGGUGAAAUGCGCAGAUAUCGGGAGGAACACCGGUGGCGAAGGCGACUCCCUGGGCUGAUAUUGACGCUGAGGCGCGAAAGCUAGGGGAGCAAACGGG
rnacentral:rRNA from 1 species